GAGGGAGCGGCGGACGGGUUAGUAACGCGUGGGAACGUACCCAGAUCUAAGGAAUAGCCACUGGAAACGGUGAGUAAUACCUUAUACGCCCUUCGGGGGAAAGAUUUAUCGGAUUUGGAUCGGCCCGCGUUAGAUUAGAUAGUUGGUGGGGUAACGGCCUACCAAGUCUACGAUCUAUAGCUGGUUUUAGAGGAUGAUCAGCAACACUGGGACUGAGACACGGCCCAGACUCCUACGGGAGGCAGCAGUGGGGAAUCUUGGACAAUGGGCGCAAGCCUGAUCCAGCCAUGCCGCGUGAGUGAUGAAGGCCUUAGGGUCGUAAAGCUCUUUCGCCUGUGAAGAUAAUGACGGUAGCAGGUAAAGAAACCCCGGCUAACUCCGUGCCAGCAGCCGCGGUAAUACGGAGGGGGUUAGCGUUGUUCGGAAUUACUGGGCGUAAAGCGCACGUAGGCGGAUUGGAAAGUAUGGGGUGAAAUCCCAGGGCUCAACCCUGGAACUGCCUCAUAAACUCCCAGUCUUGAGUUCGAGAGAGGUGAGUGGAAUUCCGAGUGUAGAGGUGAAAUUCGUAGAUAUUCGGAGGAACACCAGUGGCGAAGGCGGCUCACUGGCUCGAUACUGACGCUGAGGUGCGAAAGUGUGGGGAGCAAACAGGAUUAGAUACCCUGGUAGUCCACACCGUAAACGAUGAAUGCCAGUCGUCGGGUAGUAUACUAUUCGGUGACACACCUAACGGAUUAAGCAUUCCGCCUGGGGAGUACGGUCGCAAGAUUAAAACUCAAAGGAAUUGACGGGGG
rnacentral:rRNA from 1 species